UAAGAAUUUUGAAAAAAUAUAAACAUAAACUUGAACUUUCAAGUUUCGAAGCAAAAGCUCGAAAGUUUUCUUCAUUGAGCGAAUAAUUAAGGUUAAAAGUAAUAAAAUAUGGCCGAAGCAUGUAAUCUAGACGAUCAAGGAACCGAAGAAAUCACAGACUUUUCCAAAAAAGGCCCUAUAUCAACCAGCAUCAGGAAUGCUGUAUUCGAAAAGACCAGAAUAUUUGCUCCUUGAGCUGAAUGCAACGCUAAUAUGAGUCAUAUCAUUACUGCAUCGAAUUCGAUUUCGAAAUUGGAAAUAAUCCUUUUGUCAGUGCUCUUUUAGGAAGAUUAUGAGUUACUCACGAAUAUGAAUAAUAUAACAGCAAUGAAGUACUCAGAUAUGAGACAAAUCACCACCAAAGUAUCAAAAUAAGAGCAACGAUUCAAACAACAGAUAUGAGAAAUUAUCACCUUUACUCGAAACAAUUACAUAUCCAAACUAGAAGGAGCUGCGUAUAAAUUGGAUGCAUAUGCUAAAAAACUAGAAGUUUUAAAAUAUUAGAGAAAAGGUACAAUACUGUCGUGUCGUAAAUUGAGCUGUUUUUCAUUCAAUAAUAAAAUCAUGUACCUUUUUUUUUUGUGUAAUUUUGUACAAAAAAUGUUCAAAUAUAAUUUUAAAUAAUUA